rnacentral:rRNA from 1 species
UACGGAGGGAGCUAGCGUUGUUCGGAAUUACUGGGCGUAAAGCGCGCGUAGGCGGCUUUGUAAGUUAGAGGUGAAAGCCCGGGGCUCAACUCCGGAAUUGCCUUUAAGACUGCAUCGCUAGAAUCCGGGAGAGGUGAGUGGAAUUCCGAGUGUAGAGGUGAAAUUCGUAGAUAUUCGGAAGAACACCAGUGGCGAAGGCGGCUCACUGGACCGGUAUUGACGCUGAGGUGCGAAAGCGUGGGGAGCAAACAGG